UACGGAGGGGGCAAGCGUUAUUCGGAUUUAUUGGGCGUAAAGAGCGUGUAGGCGGCCAGAUAGGUCAGCUGUGAAAACUCGAGGCUCAACCUCGAGAUGUCGGCUGAAACCAUCUGGCUAGAGUCCGGAAGAGGAGAAUGGAAUUCCCGGUGUAGCGGUGAAAUGCGCAGAUAUCGGGAAGAACACCCGUGGCGAAGGCGGUUCUCUGGGACGGUACUGACGCUGGGACGCGAAAGCGUGGGGAGCGAACAGG
rnacentral:rRNA from 1 species